GGAAUUUUGGACAAUGGGCGCAAGCCUGAUCCAGCAAUGCCGCGUGAGUGAAGAAGGCCUUCGGGUUGUAAAGCUCUUUUGUCAGGGAAGAAACGGUUCCGGCUAAUAUCUGGAGCUAAUGACGGUACCUGAAGAAUAAGCACCGGCUAACUACGUGCCAGCAGCCGCGGUAAUACGUAGGGUGCAAGCGUUAAUCGGAAUUACUGGGCGUAAAGCGUGCGCAGGCGGUUUUGUAAGUCUGUCGUGAAAGCCCCGGGCUCAACCUGGGAAUUGCGAUGGAGACUGCAAGGCUUGAAUCUGGCAGAGGGGGGUAGAAUUCCACGUGUAGCAGUGAAAUGCGUAGAGAUGUGGAGGAACACCGAUGGCGAAGGCAGCCCCCUGGGUCAAGAUUGACGCUCAUGCACGAAAGCGUGGGGAGCAAACA
rnacentral:rRNA from 1 species